AGUUUCCUGAGUCCUCUAACUAUUGCACUACUGUAGACUCAUAGACAAGGACCUGAGAAGCGUACUCAGGUAUUUGCCAUGUUCUAAUAUGAACUGUGGACUCAUACACAAGGUUUCUCAUGAAUAAUAAAGGCUCAUGGAAUAUUUGUAGCAUGUGGAGAAAAAGCCUUCAGCUUUGCUAGAGCAGGUUUGAUCUGCUCUAGCAGUUUUGAUAAAAGAAAGUGAUCAGAGAAGUUUUCUGUUGUGGGUUAACCCCCAUAGGAUGAAGAGGAGAAAAGCUGCAAUUCUGAAAAUGACCUAGGAAAAUCUGAUGAUAAUUAUAGGAGCUGUAGCUGAAGAAAUGGUGUGGAGGGAUGUUUACCCCAAGGAGGACAUUCCUUAUUGUGACAUAAUGACAAAUUCCACAGAAAUAAUGGAAACUACUAGAACCAUCAUCAUAGCUAGGCAGAAGGAACAAUGUAAUCUGCUACUUCCUCUUCCUCUAGACUUUCUGAAAGAAGGCAUGAAAAGGCAUGAACUGUCUUCAAUAUAUUAGCAGUGGAAGACUGAGAAUAAGAUCAGAGAUGGUACUAGAAACUUACCAACAUGUCAGACUGGUAAGGAUGAGGAGUAUUAAUUUCUGAAGCAGCCUCUCACCAUGGGGCUGUACUGGGAUCAGGUGCCCAGGUGCUGGCAGUGGAGUGCUGCAGGGCCACUAUGUGAGGCAAUGCGAGGGCUGCCCCAUGCCUGCAGCCAAGAUCUUGAAGGCAGCCUGAGGAAGGGAGGACAAAAGACCCCUGACAGAGACAGAAGGUGGGAACAGAAGGAACAACAGAGGGAACGAGGGAAUAAUAACAAUGCAGGGGAGUAGGAGGUGCUCCAGGUGUGAGCAGGCACACCCUGUGGCCCAUGAAGGAUCCAUACCAGAGCAGGUGCUUCCCUGUGAGGAUGAGACCAUGCUGGAGCAGGCAUUCCCGGAAGGGACUACAGCCUUUUGAGGAGCCACACCACCAUGUAGGAAAAGAAUAAGAAAUGAGGGAUAGCAGAGAAAAAUCACUAUAGGCUGACCCAGACCUCUUGUUCUGUUUAUAGCCUCACUGGAGGGUCCAAGAGAAACCAAUUGUGAUAGCAAUGAGAUGCUUGGAACAAAGUAGUAAAGUUAAAGUAGAAAGGAAGGAGAAAAGGGUUUUGUAGUGAAGUUGAGCCUGUGAAAGUGGGAGGAAAGGUUCUUCAGUGUUUGUCUUUGUUUCCCAAUACCCAAAUCAGUAUUUAUUUAUGAUAACUGUCAACAAAAUAAUCUAGAUUUCCCCAGUGUGUUUUGCCUUGGGGAAGUACUUCAUAAGUGAUUUGACAGUCUUUAUUUUUACUUAAGAGUUUUCCUGCUGUCAUUCUUUCUUCCCUAUCCUACUGAGAAGGAAGAGUAAGAAAGUGUGAGCGGUUGUGUGGGUACUUGGCUGUUAGAUGGGGCAAACCCACCACAGAACAAGAAAAAUAACAAUGCCACAGCCUGAAACAUCAUCUGGCUGACUCAUCUUUAGUUCAUUUAAGCUGACUUCACUGCUCUUGUAACAUGAUACCUUAACUGCUCUAGCAACUUGCCCUUACUGGAGGAGAAAACAGCAGUAUGUUUAAUAGUAGGGGAGUUUUUCACAAAGUUGCAGUAAGCCUUUGCUAUAACCUAUUAAAUCAGUGUCAUUAAUUUUUACAAUCCUCUUAUACUACUCCAAAUGGAAAUCCCAGAUAGCUUUCUUUAUCCUGUUGCUGUCAUUGCAAGAGAUUGUGUUUGAAUAAUAUGGCUUUUUCAUUAGAGUUGAGCAUUUCAUUUGGUUUCAUGCUGGUAAAAAAACUAAACUGUGUUUCUGACAUCUAUCUGGCCAUUAAAAUGACUGCCACAGAUUCAACAUUUCAAGACUGCACAGUGGAAAUGAAGCAGAGAUAAACAGGAAGACAAGGAGUAAGCACUGUUCAAACCAUAAGCAGCUUCAAAAGCUAGUAAAUAUAUAUACAUAUAUAUAUAUAUAUAUAUAUAUAAAAUAAAAAGAAAAAAAUAACUUCA
rnacentral:lncRNA from 1 species